GCUCAGGACGAACGCUGGCGGCGUGCCUAAUACAUGCAAGUCGAGCGGACAGAUGGGAGCUUGCUCCCUGAUGUUAGCGGCGGACGGGUGAGUAACACGUGGGUAACCUGCCUGUAAGACUGGGAUAACUCCGGGAAACCGGGGCUAAUACCGGAUGGUUGUUUGAACCGCAUGGUUCAAACAUAAAAGGUGGCUUCGGCUACCACUUACAGAUGGACCCGCGGCGCAUUAGCUAGUUGGUGAGGUAACGGCUCACCAAGGCAACGAUGCGUAGCCGACCUGAGAGGGUGAUCGGCCACACUGGGANUGAGACACGGCCCAGACUCCUACGGGAGGCAGCAGUAGGGAAUCUUCCGCAAUGGACGAAAGUCUGACGGAGCAACGCCGCGUGAGUGAUGAAGGUUUUCGGAUCGUAAAGCUCUGUUGUUAGGGAAGAACAAGUACCGUUCGAAUAGGGCGGUACCUGACGGUACCUAACCAGAAAGCCACGGC
rnacentral:rRNA from 1 species